AACCGUUGGGGAGGUGGAAGACGAGGUUCAGCCAGGGGGUUAACUGCCAUGGGUACGUGAAUCUGAGGUACUGGGACGGGAACUGUUGCCGGGGUAAGACGAUCAGAUAUUUGCUUAAUGGAAGUCAGCAUCUCCGACAGAAGAUGAGAAUGCCUAGCCAUUAAGGCCUCUUGCUGAACCAGGGCGGCUUCGUGGCGUUGGACAGUCUCCUGGUGGUGGGACAGCAUGGCAAAAAGGUCCUGGGAACUGGCUGCCUCUGGGUUCAUUUUUGGCUCUGUGUUUCUGUCAGGACCCGGUUACGAACCUGGGUCUCCGGAGUGAGAAACAGUCACUUAACCAACUGAGCCACGAAUAGUCAGCAGGACCCAGAAGAUGAGGCAGACACAGCAGUACUUAAGACGGUGUAUUUAAUAAAGUAAAAAGGAGACGUCCUUCAAUACAAAAACGGCAAAUCCAAAAGGUGGUAGGAAUAGCACAAAAAAGCCUCAAGAGAUACUCAAAAACAAAAACAGAAUUCCACAAGAGCAUCCACCGGAAUCGACAAGAAUACACAGAACACUAGGGCUGGGUGCUAACAUACAAACACAGAGCACAGAACUGAGGGAAACUAAGGGUUUAAAUACAAUCAGGGGAAACGAGGCACAGGAUGGCAAAUCCAAAAAUCCAAAAGGUGGUAGGAAUAGCACAAAAAAAGCCUCAAGAGAUACUCAAAAACAAAAACAGAAUUCCACAAGAGCAUCCACCGGAAUCGACAUCGACAAGAAUACACAGAACACUAGGGAUGGGUGCUAACAUACAAACACAGAGCACAGAACUGAGUGAAACUAAGGGUUUAGAUACAAUCAGGGGAAACGAGGCACAGGUGCAAAUAAUAAUGGGGAACAAGGGAAAAAACAUAAGGUCAAAAAGCACAAUGGGGGCAUCUAGUGACCAAAACCCGGAACAACCCUGGCCAAAUCCUGACACCAUGGGACCAUGUUAGAUUGUGUUGAAGUUGUAGUGAAUGAAAUUAACUCUAUUUGGAAAAACAAAUGAUGGGGAAGAGCCCCCUAGGCCAGAACCCCCCUAACCCACCCCCCACAUCUCCAAUCAAAGUUAUUCCCCUGUCUGUCACCAUGUGCUGUGUCUAAUGUUUAUAAUGUGGAGUCUUACACAGUCAGAGAAUCCAAAUAUUAACAGAUGCAUGUUUUCCAUUGUGUGCUGCUUUUUUGGCCAGGUCUGUCUUGUAAAACAGGUUUCUACUCUCAAUGUGACUAAACUGGUAAAAUAAAGGUUAAAAGAGAGAGAGAGACCAGGCACUUAUAAAUCAUAUUCACCAUCCAGGAAGUUGAAAGUUACAACAGGCUGUGGAAAUAUUCAUUUUAUACUAAUUUGUUUCUAGAAUUAAUAUCUAGAAUAUGUCCAAUAUUUCUCAGACCUCUCAUAGUAAAUUAAUUAGCUAUUGAUCGGCUGUUUUCUUGAUGUUUCCACUCCUUCUCACAGUUCUUUUGUUUGCAUGUUCCUGUGGAACUCUUUCAUUCCUUCAGCCUACAGUGGUAUUUCAACACCUUCCUUUGAUUGCAACCGCUUGAACAGCAUCACAAAACACAGGAGGUCCCAAUGCUAACGCAAAGUACCUCAGUCUGUCUUUUCUCCCAGGACCGGAUAGUUCCAGGCCAUCAGCCCAGUCGUCCACCCCAGGAAUCCUUCAGGUAUUUGGGCCAGGGAUUAGAGAUUCUCUCCUUAGGAGACCAUGGACUGGGGGGAUAAGGAGGAGAGGAGUAUUAUGCUCUGCAGUAUGCGACGCCGUUCAGGUCACGGUCGUCUUGGUUAUUUGACGCGUGAAAUAGUCUUAUUUGAUUCAUCAAAUAGUGUUGUUUUAUGUGUUCAUUUUGACACACAAGACCUGAUGGAAACCUCUACUUUACGCAGGUCUGCUCUAUCCAGCCUGUAAUGAUUUCCAUGUUCAGCUCUAUGUUUCCAUGUUCAGCUCUAGGUUGAGCAGGCAGUGUGAAGUAGAGCAGGCCAGACUCUAGUGGAUGACAUGAAAAUUAUGCAUAUUUGAAAUGGCCAAAAUAUGGCAUCCUGGUUUAUUUUACUUCCAUAGCAAUUUCCUAUUGUCUACUAGGGGCAACGCAAGCACCUAUUACCAGCUAGUGGGCCUCGUUACAGAUCUACGGCUCAGAGGAUGUUGAGUUCAAUCCCAGUGCUUGGCACUCAAUUUAAUAUAGAGUUUUAAAUGUUUUAGCAUAUGCCUAUAUAUUUCUGCAACAACACACUCACUCAUCACAAAUGUUCAGCAAGCUAGUUACAGUGACUCCUAUAGACAUGAUUGGCAUCAGGAAAAGAGGGUAGGCUAUCAGCUGAUCGUUGAUAUUGAUGAUUGAUGUAAAUCUGCUAGUUAGCUGGCUCAAUACUUUUUUUUUUUUACUGAUUGUGAUUAAUCUUCAAUGCUCUUAAAUAAUAACCUCAUCAUAUUGCCAUGAUAUAUGGCUGGCUGGCCAUAUAGAGAGAGGUUUGUGAGGAUAUUUUAGUAUAGGGUGGUUAGCUAGAGUCUAGACUACCUGUGUUCAGCGCUUCAUUUGUACCAGAACUCAUAAAACAUCACCUUUAUAAGGAAGCAUUGCAUGCAUAUCAGUGCAUUUGCAUAGUGUCAUAGAGCAGUACAGUAGAGGCGCAUACAGAAGUUGCACACACGGGAACAUUUUUAUUAGCAUAGGGUCCGGGAAAAAUUGGCUUUUUAUUACCACAUUUGAUGCAAUUAUAUGUCUUUUUACAUGGGUGGGUAUAAUUUGGGGAACGU